CACCGGCCUUGCUGGGCAUCAACGUGGCAUUAAUAUAUCCUCCGUCCUUGGUGGGCAUCAACAUAACAUCAAUAUAUCCUCUGGGUUUAUCGGGCAUCAUCAAAAUAUCAAUACCUCUUUUGGGUUUACCGGGCAUCACCAUAUUAUCAAUAUAUCCUCCGGCCUUGUUGGGCAGUAACAUAGCAUUAGUAUAUCCUUCAGCCUUGCCGGCUAUCAACAUAACAUCAAUAUAUCCUCC
rnacentral:lncRNA from 1 species